rnacentral:rRNA from 1 species
ACGAACGCUGGCGGCAUGCCUAACACAUGCAAGUCGAACGAUGCUUUCGGGCAUAGUGGCGCACGGGUGCGUAACGCGUGGGAAUCUGCCCUUGGGUUCGGAAUAACAGUGAGAAAUUGCUGCUAAUACCGGAUGAUGUCUUCGGACCAAAGAUUUAUCGCCCAGGGAUGAGCCCGCGUAGGAUUAGCUAGUUGGUGGGGUAAUGGCCUACCAAGGCGACGAUCCUUAGCUGGUCUGAGAGGAUGAUCAGCCACACUGGGACUGAGACACGGCCCAGACUCCUACGGGAGGCAGCAGUGGGGAAUAUUGGACAAUGGGCGCAAGCCUAAUCCAGCAAUGCCGCGUGAGUGAUGAAGGCCUUAGGGUUGUAAAGCUCUUUUACCCGGGAUGAUAAUGACAGUACCGGGAGAAUAAGCUCCGGCUAACUCCGUG